CUCACAAAACCUGAAGAUUUGCUAUCUGGCUCUUUACAGAAAAAGUCUGUGGAUUCCUGUUACAGAAGCCUGAUGGCAUGAGGGUCUCCUGUUUUGCGGACGCCGCCUUCCACUGAUGAAUUGUCCUUGUUCGCGGACAGUAGGUAAGGCAGUUGUGCCACCCGCAGACAACAGUGAGCUUACCUCCUAGCAGCCUAAAGGCCUGUGGAAGAUUAAUCACUGCUCUAAGUCUCUAUGAAAAUGAUACAGGAAUUACUUCACAUUCAAAAUCGUGUGACGAAUGGGCUUUCAGAUCUACAUAUGUGGCAUUUUCACAGAAGACAGAAACUAAAGAGAGGCAAGGAAAUGUGCAGCCUCUAUGUCAAGACUUGUCCAGGAUUAAACUGGGUUAAGAGACUUGUGGCACCCCUUCACCCGAAGAGUUUUACAGCCAGAAGGGAACAAAGCCCUGCAGAAUGAUGUGAUCGUGUUCCUUUUUGAAGGCCCUGGGCUGGACUAUGUUAUUCUUAUACUCUCAAACACCCAUCAGGAUGUUUCAAGUUUGAGUCUUUAUAACUUCAUAAAGAGCAAGUGAUUUGUAUAAA